AGCCCCGAGCUGCUGCAGUUCAAACGGUGUUUGGAAAGAGCUCAGAUACAGGUAUUGAAUUUGGAUGGUCCUACCUACGUGGAGCCAGGAGUUGGAGUUAAUGAUCCUUGUGGAUCCUUUCUAACUCAGGAUACCGUACGGUUCAGUAAUUCAAUGGACCAGUUCUGACAGUGCUGUGCAGCUCUCACACUGGACGCACCAGCAAACUGCAUGGCUUUUAUUUCUAACACAAAGCUUUUCAUUCUACAGCUAUUACUUUCUAACUUAAAUGACCUAUUGGAUCUGGGACAUAUUCUGAGGCCAAGUUACUUUGGAGGCUAAGCUUAAUGAAAAGUGAAGAAGAGUUGGACAAUUUUGAAAACCCAUUUCCUCAUUUAUCUUCCAGGUAAUCUUGCUGUUUGAUUUGAUGUCUCAUGUUCAGGUAUUGAAUCUUGACAUCUACAGCGUAAGUGGAUGUGGAGACACUGGACUGGUGGAUACAGUGAUGGGAGAUUCUGCUUAUGUAAACAAAGACUUAUUGGGGGGAAGAAAGCAACAAGAAUGGCUUCAUGGGUACUUUAAAUGUGUGUCACGAUCUCACAAUCUCCUCCAAGUUAACAAAUUGCAUUUUAGAAUUGUGUUUGGUAAUUAUUGCAUUCAUACCUCAGAUGUAAGACCCAGGCAUUAUGGUUGGUUAGAAUUCAUCUGAAUAAAUAGCAGUUUGCCACAUUCUUAACAAAAACAUUAUUCAUUAGAACUUCUACAUAUUAGCAGCCCUGAAUAACAUUUGGCAAUUGCUUUGUGUAUACAUUACUAAAACGUCCGUGGAUGCAUACAAAUUGCUUGGUGUGCUAAUAUGAAACAGGGGCAGUAAUGAAACAGUAGAGUGAGUAUUAAGCUCCAGGACUGCAUUUAUUCUGCAAAAUGUUCCUCUUGCAAUUUGUAAACAUCUUGGAAACUUGAGUGUUUUUGAGCUAUUUAAUGGUUGUUAGUCAUAAGACCUGGUUUGUAUUUGCUGCAGGACCUGCUUGCCCCUUUCCUUCUGCAAAGGGCACGAGUAGCGUGCUGACUUGGUCAAAUGUUUUUCAGGUAUGACAGCAAUAACCCUUAAGGUCUCCAGAGUCUUUUGAACGCAGAUUCCUGAAGGCAGCUCUCAUGAAAAGAUGCUAUGAAGAAAGUAGCCAUAGAUGCUAGAGUUACUGGUAGGAGGGCAGUUGGAAGUGUGUCGGUGUGAUUCCUUGCCUUGUCUUUAAAAUUAAAUGUCAUCUCUUCAAAUCAUGUGUGACCUGCUUCUGCCCCUGUUCAUGGCUUUUCACUGCAAAAAUAAAGGAAGAUAUGCCUCUAAUGAGCCAGAAAAUAACUGCUCUUAAAAGAAACUUAUUUUUUUUUCCUUUUCAGAAGAGGUUUGGACAGGGAGAAAGCAUUUUUUCUCUACAAGAUUUUUUUUUUUUUUUAAAUCAUGUACAAAUAUAAUAUCCUGCAAAAUAAAGGAGGGUCU
ensembl:lncRNA